GAUCCUGGCUCAGGAUGAACGCUGGCGGCGCGCCUAACACAUGCAAGUCGAACGAUUAAAGCACCUUCGGGUGUGUAUAAGUGGCGAAUGGCUGAGUAACACGUGGGCAACCUGCCCCUCUCAUUGGGAUAGCCACGGGAAACCGUGGAUAAUACCGAAUACUUCGAGACUUCCGCAUGGAAGACUCGAGAAAGCUCCGGCGGAGAGGGAUGGGCCCGCGGCCUGUUAGCUUGUUGGUGGGGUAACGGCCU
rnacentral:rRNA from 1 species